rnacentral:rRNA from 1 species
GCAUAUCAAUAAGCGGAGGAAAAGAAACCAACAGGGAUUGCCUCAGUAACGGCGAGUGAAGCGGCAACAGCUCAAAUUUGAAAUCUGGCCCCCCGGGCCCGAGUUGUAAUUUGGAGAGGAUGCUUCUGGSGSGGCGCCSUSCGAGUUCCUUGGAACAGGACGCCGGAKAGGGUGAGAGCCCCGUMCGGACGGACGCCUAGCCUCUACKAAGCUCCUUCGACGAGUCGAGUAGUUUGGGAAUGCUGCUCAAAAUGGGAGGUAAAUUUCUUCUAAAGCUAAAUACCGGCCAGAGACCGAUAGCGCACAAGURGAGUGAUCGAAAGAUGAAAAGMACUUUGAAAAGAGGGUUAAAAAGUMCGUGAAAUUGUUGAAAGGGAAGCGCCUGUGACCAGACUUGCGCCCCGCGGACCAUCCGGCGUUCUCGCCGGUGCACUCCGCGGGGUGCAGGCCAGCAUCGGUUCUGCCAGGGGGAUAAAGGCCGCGGGAACGUAGCUCCUCCGGGAGUGUUAUAGCCCGCGGCGGCAUGCCCUUGGCGGGACCGAGGACCGCGCUUCGGCAAGGAUGCUGGCGUAAUGGUCAUCGGCGACCCGUCUUGAAACACGGACCAAGGAGUCAAGCAUUGGGGCGAGUGUCUGGGUGUCAAACCCGCACGCGAAAUGAAAGUAAACGCAGGUGAGAGCUUCGGCGCAUCACCGACCGAUCCUGAUGUCUUCGGAUGGAUUUGAGUAAGAGCCUUACCGCUUGGACCCGAAAGAUGGUGAACUAUGCCUGUAUAGGGUGAAGCCAGAGGAAACUCUGGUGGAGGCUCGCAGCGGUUCUGACGUGCAAAUCGAUCGUCAAAUANGGGCAUGGGGGCGAAAG